GUGCCAGCAGCCGCGGUAAUACGUAGGGUGCGAGCGUUGUCCGGAUUUAUUGGGCGUAAAGGGCUCGUAGGCGGCCUGUCGCGUCGGAAGUGAAAGCCCACUGCUUAACGGUGGGUCUGCUUCCGGUACGGGCAGGCUGGAGUAUGGCAGGGGAGACUGGAAUUCCUGGUGUAGCGGUGGAAUGCGCAGAUAUCAGGAGGAACACCGGUGGCGAAGGCGGGUCUCUGGGCCAUUACUGACGCUGAGGAGCGAAAGCGUGGGGAGCGAACAGGAUUAGAUACCCUAGUAGUCC
rnacentral:rRNA from 1 species